rnacentral:lncRNA from 1 species
UACAUCCAAUUGGGUUUCCUCAUAUUCAAUGAUUGAUUUGUCUUCAUCACAAUGAAUGUGUCUGCACAAUCAAAUGAUAAAUAAAGCUUCACAGAGAUUAGUUAAUUGGCUAAAUACGUAUACAAAUGUGAAUCUAAAUAGGACGCACCUACAACAUGGCAGCAAUAUGAUGCACUGUACCACGGCCAUGCCUAACAUCUGCAUGGCAUAUGCACGGUUUGCAUGGUGGAUAAGGUGAUGCGCGUUAAGAAGACCAGCAACACGUUCACACAUUAUCUUCGUCAUUUAAAUAACCAUAUUUGGUAUGUCAAUUUCCUGGUAUAUAUCUCUAUGUCCAUGUACCUCUGGAUUACAAGCAUUUGUUUGCUGAUCUUUGUGAAGACGAGAUAGGAAGAUCCAUGUUAUUGAUCACUCAAAUAAGGUCAAAAGUUCAGUUUUUUCUUUGCCAGUGCAAUCUUAUCAAAAGUCCUACAAUCUCAUUAGUAAUUAUGUGUGGACACAUAUGUUUUCAAUCGAGUGUGAUGUGAUAUUUUCAUUUUAAGCGACAAAACCUGGCUACGUAGCUUUCGGUAAGGACCAAGUUAACAAGAAUAAGGAUGAUUAGGAGUUGAUACAGUGCUAUAAAUUUAUUUUAGUCGUGGUUGUUCCAAAUCAGUUUACAUAGUAGAAACUUGGUUAGUGCUAAGAUUGAUUAGCAUGUAAAUGUUGUAAACUGCAGAAAGAA